rnacentral:rRNA from 1 species
GUGCCAGCCGCCGCGGUAAUACAGAGGGUGCAAGCGUUACUCGGAAUUACUGGGCGUAAAGCGUGCGUAGACGGUUAUGUAAGUCGGGUGUGAAAGCCCCGGGCUCAACCUGGGAAUGCCAUUCGAGGCUGCACAGCUAGGGUGCGGAAGAGGGAAGCGGAAUUUCCGGUGUAGCGGUGAAAUGCGUAGAGAUGUGGAGGAACACCAGUGGCGAAGGCGGCUUCCUGGUCCAGCACCGACGUUCAGGCACGAAAGCGUGGGGAGCAAACAGGAUUAGAUACCCUGGUAGUCC